GAUGGUACUGAUCUAAAAUCACUUCAUUGGGGACAAUACUAAUUGCAAGAACGUUGGACCCCAGAGGUAAGAUAGUAUGUUAUUUGUUAGUUUAUGGUCAUACGGUAUAAUGCAUCGAUAUAAUCUUAUGACUUAAAGUAUGAAAUAGAUGUGUUAAUAGUAUUACUUUUUAAUGUUUUAUUCUAAAAUCAAAUUUAGUCAAAUCAUUUGUUGUUGCAUGCAUAAGCAGGUCAUAUAUUACCACUGAUUUAUGCGUUGGUUGAUUAUGAGAUUAUAGCAUCUUGGACUUAGUUUUUGAGAAGUUUAAAGAAGUUAUUGGGAAAAGAAAUGAAGAAUGUAUUGUGUCAGAUAGAAAAGAAAGCAUAUGGAAAGCAACAUCAAUAGUAUAUAUGAAUCUGUCACACCGUGCAUGUAUUAAUCAUUUGUGGGGAACUAUAAAGAUGACUUUUGAACGGAUGUUAAUGAACUACAUAAACUCUAUUUUUCCAUGGCGAAGGCAUAUACUCUGCAAAAAUUUGAAGUGUUAAUAGGGAGGAUGGACCAGAUUGACAGCAGAGUGAGGAUAUAUAUUUUUAUGAAAUUGGAUAUCAUAAAUGGGAAAGGGUUCAUUCUAUGAUUAAGAGUACUUGGGUUCUGACGUCAAACAUAGUAGAAUCCAUAAAUAAUACAAACAGAAUACCUAGAAGAAUACCUGUUGUUUGUGAGACGGAUUUUAUGAGGUUAACUGUUGAAACAUGGAAUGCAAAAUAGAAUGGGGGAGGAAAAAAUACAUUGAUGGACCUAACCAAAAAGUACAAUGAUAUCCUUAAUUAUAACAAGCACCAAUCGCAAAAUAUGAUGGUAAGUAUUUAAAUAUAUGACAUUACAUUGCAAAAUUUUUAUAAAUUUAUUUUUAUGUGUCACGACCCAAAAACAAGGGUCAUGAUGACACUUAUCGCGGUGUACCUUGCGAAAUAAGUCUAUCAACCAAUAUGAUAAAAAAGAAAAAAGAAAAGACAGAAAUACCAAAGGUAAGACUUCUAGAAUGAAGUCAAACUAUAGAAGUAAUCAUAACAAUGCAGAAAGAAUUUAUCCACAAUAUCAAUCAUACCCAAAACCAGGUAUCAAUAGUGUAAGAACUACCUAUACAAUUUAGGAGUCAAAUACAUUCAAAAAAUAACCACAAAGGAAUAAUAUUUGUCUCCAAAUACUAAUAAAGACAUAACUAAUACAAGAAGAUAGAGGUGAAAUUCGGAGGUAUGAAUGUCCAACCGUUACCUUGAGUAAUCUGAAAACACCCAAAAUCAACUAGUCUGAGGCACAUUCGAACCUGAAGCUACAUAAAAAAGGUGAAGUAGGAGUAAGUACGGUCUACUUGUACUUAGUAGGUAUCAUAAGACCAUCGACCAAAGUAGAAAAUAAAGCAUACAAAAUACACACUAAAAGCACGUCAUCUGCAAUCAAAAAAUUUCCCACAACGAUAGCCCAUAUUGCUUGCACUAAUAGUUCUAAUAUAUUACAUAUAUUGCAACAUCACACCAAGAUAGAACAUAAGUAUGCAUUAUAUUACAUAUAAGUAGAACAAGGGGGAAUAUGCAUAUACAAGAUCAUCAAAUACUAGUAAAAGAAGAUAAGACAAUUACAUAGAUGGCAAGUCAAUAUGGCAAUACAACACAAUAUAAACACAAAAAAUUAAGGGUAAUGUACAUGAUGAUGCACGAGGUCAUCGCACAAUCUUCGAGAUCAUUGCACAAUCCCCGUAUACACCUAUGUAGGCAAGCCUCGCUGUGCGGUACCCAUGGAGAUUGCGUCAACCCGUAUAUAAUCCACAUAUCUCAUAUCUCCUUUUUGGUACAUCCUUCGAAAAGAAUUUUAUAAGGUGUUACAAUAUCUCCUUCCUAAAACAUUUCUCGGAGAGGAUUUUUAAAAAAGUGUUGCUAGUGUUACUCAGGUGUUGUCAUAGUGGUACCAAUGUUUCAUGAAUGAGUAUGAUAUGAGGAGGCAAUGCUCACAACCAAUCACAAUGAGUAUUUCCACAACCUACUACAUGAUAUAUUUCCACAACCAACCACAAUGAUACAUUUUCAUAAUCACAUGAGUCAAUACUCACUCAUUAUUAAUGUUUCAUUCAUGAAUUUUCACAUGUCUCAUAUGCUAAUAAAGUAUGAAGAUAAUCAAAAUACACCAAUGGUACCUCAUUAAGCAUUUUAACAACACAAUACAAACUAUACACAUAUAUCCAAGACUAUCAAUAUCAUAAAGGACCCCACACGGUCACAAAUAUCACAAAAUAUCUCAAUUUUGAAAAUUACAUCACAUAUAAGCCCUACAAGGCACAAUACAUAGAUAGACAUUUUUUUUAUGAUUAGUUCCCACCCUUAACAUGUAUUUUGUACCAUAAUCUACUACCUAAACCAGUAUGAAAGAGUUAAGCCAUAACCUACCUCAAAAGCUGAAAUACCACAACCAAGACUUUGAUCCGAAAGCCUUACUCCUCACGAAUGGUACCAAACUCUACUAAAAACAUUAAUUAUAGAAUCUGCGUAUCAAAACAAAACCUAUGACACCCAUAUUAACUACUAUUGAUUAGGGAUCAAAACGGACCGGAAAUGGAUUUUUAUAAAAAAGGAAAAAAUCAUAACUACACUUCAAAAACUUGUUUCCAAUAUUUUUAGGAACCUACAGCUAAAAUCAAAGUCAAAUCGCGUAAAAAAUGAGGUUCAACUCGGAAAAAAAUUAUCUUUAGGCUUUACCGGGUAAAAACUUUGAAAUUUGUAUUAAAUCAAGAAUCAGAGUUGUUUUGAAAGUUAAAUUGAUGAAAAACUAGUAAUUAUAAGAUUAAAAUAUUAUUCAAGUGAAAAAGAUUGAAAUUAGGAUUUAAAAUUAAGCCCUAAGAUUUUUGGGGUUUUGAGAAAUUAAUCAAAAAAUUAUUAAGAAAAUAGGUGAUUUCUUACCUUAAAUCCAUAAGAGAAUCAAGAAAUAGGGGUUAAUCUGACUUCCCAAACUCCCAAAAGCAUCAAUUUUAAGCUCUCACACUAUUUUAGUAUUUAUCUCUCAAGAAGAAAGGUGAAAGAAUGGACAAAAUGGGCCAAAAUAGGGUUAAGAAAGUUGCUACAUAUUACAGAAAAAUCUACUAUAGUGCAGAUUUUUCUAAGUCCAAACGGAUUUCGAUGGGGUGUCGGAAUUUGUUUGGAGUCUGAUGAACGCAAACAAACUAUGAAAAAAAUACUAAAUUUGACGUUCCGGAUGCAUUGGCAAAGUUAUAUUUUCAAAAAAAAAUAUCAUUUUCACAAAGUUGACCUAUAAUAUCCAAAAUCAUAAUUUUCAAAAUCAAGGAUCGAAAUGAGAUUUAAAAGGCGCAAAAUCACAACAACCAUGUUACCACCCUAAGAUCAACGUUUUGGGUUUGCUAGAGAAGUUGGAUUUUCUAUUCAAGAUCAUUUCGACCAAAUGUGGAUCCCACACCCAUAUUUCCAAUUUUUCAACUUUCCGACCAAUAGGUUGAAAUGAGCUCAGGUGCACCGGGACUCGAACCAAAGAUCUACCUAGCCUAAAAUUGAUAUUUCGAAGCUGCUGGCACAGUCCGAUCAGCCAUCCAUUGCAUGGAUCAAAAGAUAUCCAUAUAAGUCCAAAAUAAGGCUCUCGAAGCCAUCAAAAAGAAAAAAUAUCCCAUAAAUGGUAUUAAAAUGCAUCAAAAAUUGUGCCAAUUAUCCCCACACCCCAAAAAUAUCAUAAUGAAACUACGGGUAUGAGUGAGAUAGUCAAAUCACAUAGAAACACACAUUUCAUAUAUUUCAUUAAAAAGUUGAUCAUUACAUCAUCCACCACUAAAAUCUAGUUCAUCCUCAAACCAAUGGCAAAAGAAAUAACUGUAUCAACAAAGAACUAGGGAUAAGAACUACGCAUAUCUAAAUCGACCUCCCAAGUAGCCUCAUCUACAAGUUGAUAUCGCCACUAAACCUUAACCACAGGAUAACUCUAGAGAACACCCGUCUAACAUCCCCAGCCAAUAUAGAGAUUCGCUUCUCAAAAAAAGACAAUCGCUUAUCUAACUUACUCCUAGCAAAUAACAUAAGACUCGUACAGAAUAUAACGGCGAAUCAUAAGAAUAUAAAAAACUUGAUGAACAGUUGUAGAUCAGGGGGCAAAGCCAACUCAUAAGCCACAUCACCCAACAAUUCAAAGAAUCUCAAAUGGACCAAUAUACCUAGAGAUAAGCUAUCCCCUCUUUCCACACCUUAUCACACCCUUCAUGGGUGAAACUCAAAGGAAAAUACGACCUCCAAAACCAUAUCUUAAGGCACAAAGUCUACAAUUAGCAAAAAAUUUCUGCCUACUCUGAGCUGCUCUAAGUCUAUCCUGAAUGAUCCAGACUCUAUCCAAAGACUCACGAAGUAAGUCCAUACCUCAAAGUCUCACCUCUGAAACAUCAAACAAACCCACUGGGGAGCGACAAUGCCUACCAUACAAUUCCUCAAAAGGAACCAUGUCAAUACUUGAAUGGUAGUUGUUGUUAUAUAAAAACUCUGAUAAAGACAAAUAUUGCUCCCACUAACCACCAAAAUUUAUCACACAUGCGCGGAGCAUAUCCUUCAAAACCUAAAUAGUCUACUCUAACUGACUGCUAGUCUGGGGGUAAAUAUCGUGCUAAGAUUAACCCGAGUAUCCAACUCAUCCUAAAAAGUCUUUCAAAAGUAAAAUGUGAAUAGAGAUCCUCGAUCUAAAAUAAUGGACAUCAAUACACAAUGCAGACCCACAAUCUCACAAAUGUAGAUACGAGCUAACCUCUCAGCAUCGAAUGAGACCUGAACCAAAAUAAAAUGAGUUGACUUGGUCAAUUAACCCACGAUGACCCAAACAUUGUCAGAAUCAUGAGAUGGAUAAGGAAACCAGCUAAAAAAUCCAUAGUGAUACAUUCCCAUUUCCACUUGGGAAUGGGUAACCUCUGAAGCAACUCACCAUGCCUUAUAUGCUCAGUGUUCACUUGUUGAUACCAUAGGCAAUGAGACAUAAAAUCUGCUGCAUCUCACCUCCUACCACCCUACCAGUAAUGCUUCCUCAAAUCACGAUACAUCUUAGUCACACCUGGUUGGAUAGAAUAUCUAGAACAAUAGGCCUCCUCCAAGAUCAACCUAAUCCAGUCACCCACUCUCGGCCUCUAAUCUUCAAAACUCCAUCUAAAUUAAGUGAGGCUUCCUUAGCCUCUCCACUCAACACCUUACCUCAAAUCAGCCUUAACCCAAUAUCAUAAAACUAAUGAGCUCAAACCUUCUCCAUCAAAAAAGAUCUAGCCUCCAUAAGUGCCAAAACAUGCACAGGUGUCAAAAUAUCAAGCCUAAAUAUCUAGUUAGCUAAAGACUAAACCUCUAACGCUAAAGGCCUCUCCCGGGUCAAAAGAUACAUUAAGUUACCCAUUCUAGUGACUUCCAGCUCAAGGCAUGCGCAACCACAUUUGCCUUUCUCAGAUAGUAGAGAAUAGUCAAGUCAUAGUCCUUAAGCAACUAAAGCAAUGACGCUGCCUCAUAUUAGGAUCUCUCUGGGUGAAGAAGUACUGAAGGCUACGAUGAUUUGAGAAGAUCUCGCAAUGAACUCCAUAUAAGUAGUGCCUACACAACUUUAAAACAAACACAACCGCGUAUAACUCUAAAUUAUAGUUAGGGUAAUUUUUCUCCUGGGUCUUUAACUAACGAGAAACAUACAUAAUUAUAUUACCCUACUUUAUCAGCAUAGCACCCAAUCCAACACCCAAAGCAUAAAAAAAUAUGGUAAAGCCCACACCCUGCUUGGGCAAAGCCACUAUAAGAGUUGAAGUCAACAAAUCCUUGAGCUUUUGAAAGUUUGCCUCACAAGCAUCAGACCACUAGAAGGAAGUCUUAUUUUGAGUUAACUUAGUCAAAGGAGAUAGAAUAGAAGAGAAACCCUCAAUAAAAUACCAAUAAUACCUGGCCAAGCCAAUCAAACUCUAAGCUCGAUGGGCAAAAUAGGUCUAUCCCAAUCAUGAACCAUUGCAACCUUGGCUGGAUCAACCAUAAUACCUUCCUUAGUAACCACAUGACCCAAGAAAGAAAUAGACUCCAACCAACACUCGCAUGUAAAGAACUUUGCACAUAACUUCUAAUCCCUCAAUCUCUGAAGAACAAUUCGCAAAUGCUCUUCAUGCUCAGCCUCACUCUUUGAAUACACUAAGAUAUCAUCUCUAAAUGCAUUAAUAAAUGAGUCGAGAUACGAUUGAAAAACCCAGAUUAUUAACUCUAUGAAUGCGGCAGGGGAAUUAAUCAACCCAAUGGACAUGACAAAGAACUCAUAAUGACCACAUCAAGUUCGAAAAGUUAUCUUUGAAAUAUCCCAAGCUCUAAUCCUAAACUGGUGAUAUUCGUACAUCAAAUUAAUCUUCAAAAACACUGUAGCACCCUGAAAUUGAUCAAAUAAAUCAUCAAUAUGGGAAAGAAGACACUGAUUCUUAACCGCCACCUUAUUCAACUAUCGAUAAUCAAUACACAUCUGCAUAAACCCAUCCUUAUUUUUCACAAACAAGACAAGCUUAUCCCAAGGUGAUACACUAGGUUGGAUAAAUCCCUUAUCCAAUAACUCCUAUAAUAGAUCCUUCAAUUUCUUCAACUCAGUUGGGUCUAUUCUAUAAGGGGGAAUUGAAAUGGGUUUGGUUCCCGACUCAACAUCAAUAGCUAAAUCAAUAUCUCAAUCCAGAGUUAUACCGGGAAAAUCCAUAGAAAACACAUCCAUAAGCUCAUGAACAACACGAACAUAAUCCAAGGAAGGAGGCGAAACAACACUAGUAUCAUGAAUAUGAGGUAAAUAAGAUAAACAUCCUUUCUUAACCAAUCUAUGAGCUUGGACUUAAGAGAUAACUCUCUUAGGAGCUGAAUAAAGCAUACCCUUCCAAGAUAUCCUUGGUACAACUGGUAGAGCUAAAGUCACAAUCUUAGCAAAACAAUCUAAGACAGCCUAAUAAGGAGAUAACAAAUCCAUACCUAAUCAAAUCUAACACAAUUAAAUCUAUCCAAGUCUUACAGUCCCAAAAAUGUCACAACAUAAGAUCGGUACACCCCAUCCACCACUAAAGAAUCUCCUACAAGGGUAGAUACAUGAAUAUGCAUGGCAAGAGGCUCAAUAACAGAAUAAAAACCUAAAGAAAAAUAUGCAGACAGAUUGAAGAAUGUCGAUCUGAGAUUAAAUAAUACAGAUGUAGGUCUAAAACAAAUAGGGAUGAUACCUGCAAUCACAAUAUCAGAAAUAUCUGCCUCAAGUAUGGAUGGUAUAGCAUAACACUAACCACAACCAUAAGCUACCUUGGUGGCCUAUGACCACCAACUUCCUGAGUGGCCCCAUGACCGCCUCUAUAAUCUCUACUACCUCUACCCCUCGUACCUCUAAUAAUACCCCUACCCCUCACAGUUGGAAUAAGAGUAGCCAAAACUACCCAACAAGGACACUUCUUGGCCACAUGGCCAAUCUCAUUAAAGACAUAGCAACAUCUAGGACCAAUCUAAAAAAAAAAGGUACAACUUGGCCCGAACGACCACCCUAAAUUGUUGAACUAAAAUAUCCACCAUUUGAACUUUGUAAAUCUGCCUGUACUAACCUACUAUGGUAUUUAUGUGAACCUCUAAAAUAUCUGCCUCAAGAGGUCUAACUCCUAAACUCACCAAAAUAUCAUACCUUCUCGGUGCCUGCCUGAGAUGCUCAAAGAAUACCCUCUAUAAUUUUAGCAUGACCUAUAAUACUCUGAAAAGAAGCCCCAAGUACAACCAUCUGAGAUGUAGUAACUGAAUGGGGACAUCCGAACCCUUUACAAAGUUCUAAAUCUUCUCAGACUCAGGUGGAAAUAAAAUCAUAGAAAUAUUUAGACAGGAAAUGGAAGUGUGCCUUACACUCAACAAAUAUCAUAGAGCUUUGAUCCAAAUGAUCAAACUCGUCCUGCAUACAGUCUCUCAAACUGAAAGGCAUAAAUCUCUCUAGGAAAGCCUUGGCGAACUGAUCCUAAGUCAUCUUGGGAGAAUCACAGGGUCUACAACUAACAAGCAACCUCCACCAAUUUCGCACCGUAUCUCUCAACUGAUAAUAUAUAGUAUAAGCCACACCAUCCAUGCAGAAAUAGUGAAACACAACUCAAAACACAAGGUAUGGAAAAACUUCAUGCGAUAAAGAAUAAAAUAAAGAAAGUUUCAAAAAUACAUCCUAUAGACUCUCAAAGAUAGAUACGAAUGUCUAUGUACCAAUCCAUAAGACUAUAUUAUACAUCUAUUUCUUAUGCCAUUGAGACCAGUGAAACCUGGUUGCUUUGAUACCAAUUUGUCAAGACCAAAAACAAGGUUCAUGAUGGCACUUAUCGCGGCGUACCUUGACAAGUAAGCCUUUCACCUAAACUGAUACAAAAAGGAAAAUAAAAAGACAAAAAAAUCCAACGUAAGGAUUCUAGAUCAAAGCCAAACUAUACAAGUAAUUAUAACAAUGCAAAAAAACCAUAUCCAAAAUUCUAUUCAUGCCCAAAACUAGGUGUCAAUAGUGUAAGAGCUACUAAUAUAAUUCAGGAGUCAAAUACAUCAGAAAAAUAACCACAAAGGAGUAAUAUCUAUCUCUAAAUACUAAUAAAGACAUAACUAAUACAAAAAGAUAGAGGUGAACUCUGGAUGAAUGAAUGUUCAAUCACUACCUUGAGUAAUCUAAAGGCGCCCAAAAAAAACAAGUCUGAGGCACACUUAAACCUGAAGUUGCACCGAAAGGGUGAAGUAGGAGUGAGUAUGAUUCACUUCUACUCAGUAGGUAUCAUAGGCCGACUGAGCAAAGUAGAAAAUAAAUUAUACAAAAUACACACUAAAUACACGUCACCUGUAAUUAGAAAAUAUCCCACAAUAGUAGCCCACACCGCUUGCACUAACAGUUCCAAUAUAUCACAUAUAUUGCAAUAUCACGCUAAGAUAGAACACAAGUAUGCAUUAUAUCACAUGUAAGUAGAACAAGGGGGAACAUGCAUAUACAAGAUUAUCAAAUACAAGUAAAAAAAAGAUAAUUACAUAGAUGGCAAGUCAAGAUGGAAAAUCAGUACAAUAUAAACACAAUAAAGUAAUUGCAAUAUAUGUGAUGAUGAUGCACGAGGUUAUUGCAUAACCUCUGGGAUCAUCGCACAAUCCCCGUAUACACCUACAUUGGCAAGCCCCCCAACGCAGGACCUAUGUAAGGUUCGUUAACUCAUAUAUAAUACACAUAUUUCAUACCAAUUUUUUGGAACAUCCCUCAAAAAGGGUUUUAUAAGGUGUUACAAUAUCUCCUCUCUAGCACAUCCCUCGAGAAUGGUUUUUAAAAAUGCAUUGCCAGUAUUACUCAGGUGUUGCCAUGGUGGUACUAAUGUUUUAUCAAUGAGUAUGAUAUGAGGUUGUGAUGCUCACAACCAUAUCACACUGAAUAUUUCCACAACCAACCACAUGAUAUAUUUCUACAACCAACCACAAUGAUUCAUUUCCACAACCACGUGAUCCAAUAUCCACUUAGUAUUUUUGUUUCAACCAUGAAUUUCUGCAUGUCUCAUAUGCCAAUAAAGUAUGAAUAUAAUCACAAUACACCAAUGGUACCACAUUAAGAAUUUUAAUAAUACAGUAUAAUUAUUCACAUAUAUUCAAGGUUAUCAAUAUUACAUUGGAUCCCACAAGGUCACACCUAUCAUAAAAUAUCUCAAUUUUAAUAAUUACAUCACAUAUAGGCCCCUACAUGGUGUAACUACCUUAAUAAUUUUUUCCAUUUUAUUUUGACCUUUCCGUGUUUGAAACAUCAAUUUAUGGACUGAAAUAUGCCUAGGGAUGUUAAAAGGGUAAUCUGGAUGAGUUUUGAAAUUUUCAAAAGAGGUUCAGGAUAAUUUUAGGAUUCUGAGGUAGUGAGCCUCCAUAUUUUUAAUGUGCCACGGAGGUUGGCCUCCAUGAUUUUGAUGUAGCAUGGAGGCGGCGUGCCUCCAUAAUAACACCAUAUCACAGAGGAUAAUAUCUGUGAUAAAUAAUAUGGCACAGAGAUUACCUCGAUAAUAAGGUCGCGCCAUACUGCUAUGUAAAAGUCAUGAUGUCUUAUUUUAUUUCCUUUAGGAUGAGGGGUAGUAAGGUAUUUUCACCUAUGUACGACCUUUAAACAUUAUAUGAAUCUAUUUCCAUCAGUUUUUAAGGAAUAAAAGCUAUUAUUUCACUCUAAAAAAUAAAACUCAAGCAAAACAUAAGGGUUUUAUCGUAUGAUUAUCUUUUGGGUUUCAAGUUCCAAAUUGUUUUAAGAUUCUUGUGUGUUUAAGGCAUGUUACUCUUCCUCCAAACCUUAUUUUAUCAAAAUCAUGUGUUAUAAUUUUAUUCAUUUGAUUUUAUUGAUGAUUACGAAUGUGGAUUGAGGGAUUUUAAAGUAUUAUUGAUAUAAUUUCUUUUCCCAUGGUUUAUAUGAAAUUAUUCAUGCUUUAUUGAUGAUUUUGAACUCGUGGGGUGUAUGGGAAAGGUGAAUAAACUAAGGUUUCAUGGUUUUCCCUAAUUAUGUGGACUUUGUUAAAUGAAUUGAUGAUGACCUCAACCCAAUCUUGUGAAAUUGGCUUUGAUUGUAAGUGUUUAUACACAUUGUACUAUUUUUGAAACCUGGAAUUGCAUAAAAUAUUAAUGGAACGUAAAAAUUAGUUUUAGAUUGAAAAGUCCAGAGUCCUAUUGGUUGAUUGGGUUAAAGUCCCUUUGGCUAGGUGAUUUGGUUCCUACUUGGAACUUUGGAUUCCUAUUGGUUGGCUGGGUUAGAUUCGCAUUAUCUAACAAUUUAGUUCCUACUUGGAACUUUGGAAAUCCAUUGAUUGAUUGGGUUAGAGCCUCUUUAGUAAAUGGUUAGGGUCCCUUUAGCAGAUGGUUGGAUUUGGCUAAAUAACAUGUACUUGCAAGCUAUAGUCGGUAUGAUGAUACCACUUGAUAAUGCCUUAAUGAAUGAAUCCUUGAAUGGGUUAUGUGCUAAAGCUUUAAUUUGUCUUAUAGGGAUUGUAUAGCAAGGCCUUGAAGGUGGAGGACCCAAAGGGAUCAAUACAGGAAACUGCACUUGUCGAUGCGGGGUCUAAAUGAUUAGGUGGUUCGAGUCCCUUAUAUUAUAUAAUCGGGUGGUCUGAGUCCCCUGUAUUACAUGAUCAAGCUGCUUAAGUCACCUUUAGUAUAUGAUUGAGAGGUCCGAGUCUCCUAUGCAUAUAUAUUAUGAUUAUUCUCUGAUUCAUGUAGCUACACGUACUGCGGACCGACCAAAUAGUGAGAACUGGGGCCCAUAUAUCCCUUGGGUACUACUAUGACUCAAUGAUAGAUUUAUGGGUUAUUAGCUAUCAACUUUGAAGUGGUGAGCAUUCAUUCUCCUAAAGGAUUUUCAUUUUAAAGUCAUAUUUUUUUGUGUCAUAGACUACCGUUUGGUUUCUUUUGGGCUAUCGUCAGGGGUAUGUCCCGACCUAGAUUGAUGUUAGUUUUAUAGAAGCUUUGUGGAUUACUGGGGGGUGGGAUUGUGUUGGAUUCCCAUUUUUAUUUGAGCUAUUCACUCAACUUACUUUUGUUUAUUGGUUUACUUUCACUGUUGUUAGACAUAUUGUGUUCUGUUUGACUAGGCAAAGGGAGUGGUCUUCGGUCCAUGGUGGGCUGGAUAUACCCAUCACAGCCAGGGCCUAGUUCAGCUCGUGGCACAUGGGAACAACCCAUAUAUUAUCCAUUUUUUCAUGAUUAGUUCCCACUUUAACAUGCAUUUUGUAUCAUCAUUUACUACCUAACCUUGUCUGAAAGAGUUAAGCCAGAACCUACCUCAAAAGCCAAACUACCACAACUAAGACUUUGCUUCCAAAUCCUUACUCUUUAUGAACAGUCCCUAACUCCACAAAACAUCAAAUAUGGAAUCUAUGCAUCAAAAUAAAGCCAACGACACUCAUAUUGACUGCUUUUGAUUCGUUCUAAAAGUGAAUCCCCGAAAUGGAUUUUCGAGAAAAAAAGGCAAAAUCAUAACUUUACUUAAAAAAUAUUUUCUCCAUAUUUUUAGGAACAUACAGCUGAAAACCCAAGUCAAAUCGAGUAAAAAUGAGGUUUAAAUCAAAGAAAAAUUAUUUUUAAGCUUUAUCGGGUGAAAUCUUUAAAAUUCAGGUUAAAAUCAAGAAUUAGAGUUGUUUUAAAGGUUAAAUUGAUAAAAAAAAAAAUUAAUAAUUAUAGGAUUAGAAUAUUAUUCAAGUAAAAAUGAGUGAAAUUGGGAUUUAAAAUCAAGCCUUAAAAUUUUUGAGGUUUUGAUAAAUUAAUCAAGAAAUUACUAUGAAAAUGGGUGAUUUCUUACCUUAAAUCUAUAAGAGAAUCAAGAAAUAGAUGUUAAUCUAGCUAUCCAAGAUCCCACGAGCUUCACUUUUAAUCUAUCACACUAUUUUAGGGUUUAACUCUCCAGAGGCAAGGCAAAAGAAUGGACAAACUGGGCCAAAAAGGGUUAAAAAAGCUGCUAUAUAUAGCAGAAAAAUUUGUUGUAGUGCAGAUUUUUUUUAGUCCAAACGGACUUUGACGGGGUGUCUGGAAUUCAUUCGGAAUCCGAUGACUGCAAACAAACUAUGCAACCACACUAAAUUUGAUGUUAUGGACGUGUUGGUAAAGUCGAAUUUUCAUAAAAAUAUCAUUUUCACAAAGUUGAUCCCCGAAACUCGAAAUCGAAAUUUUCCAAAUCGAAGGUCAAAAUUAGAUUUAAAAGCCGUAAAAUUAUACCAAAUGUGUUACCACCCUAAAAUCAAUGUUUUGGAUAUGCCGGAAAAGUUAAAUUUUUCAUUCAAGAUAGUUUCGACCAAAUGUGGGUCCCACAUUCAUUUUUCAAAUUUUCAACUUUCUGAUCGAUAGGUCGAAAUGGACUUGGGUGUAUUAGGACCCGAACCAAAUAUUUAUUUAGCCUAAAAUCGAUAUUCCAAAGUUUCUGAUGCAGUUCGUACAACCAUCCAUCGCAUAUAUUAAAAAAUAUCCACAUAAAUCAAAAAUAAGGCUCUCGAAGCCAUGAAAAAUCAUAAUAUGGCAUAAAUGUUACCAAAAUGCAUCAAAAACUAUGUCAAUCACUCCCAUAUUUAUAAAAUACCAUAAUUCAACUACGAAGAGUGGUAAAAUAGUCAAAUCACAUAGAAACACAUAUUUCAUCAAAAAACUUAUCGUUACAUUAUGUUGAUUGUUUCAAUUACUGUACAAAAUGUAGUGAAAUAAGUCAUACUAGAAUUAUGAAAGUUUUUGUGAUGAAUUAUAAUUUUGUAUUUUUUCAGAAUAUUUUAUUAUAAUUUUUUUAAAAUAAUAUAUGUAUUAACAAUAUGAUUUAUUGUAGGUAAAAGCUUCAAACAAAUUCUUGCAUACCAUUAGCGAUAAAGUUAAAAUAUUUAUUGUAUGCCAAUGAAGUAGAAAAUAUAGUUGUGAUCGAGUUCAAUUAGAUGAAAUACAUUGUUCUCAUGCAAUGAUUGUUAUUACAUAUCAAAACCAACAUGGAGAGG
rnacentral:lncRNA from 1 species